CCUACGGGGGGCAGCAGUGAGGAAUAUUGGUCAAUGGGCGGGAGCCUGAACCAGCCAAGUCGCGUGAGGGAAGACGGUCCUACGGAUUGUAAACCUCUUUUGCCGGGGAGCAAUUGGGUCCUUGCGAGGUCCCAAUGAGAGUACCUGGAGAAAAAGCAUCGGCUAACUCCGUGCCAGCAGCCGCGGUAAUACGGAGGAUGCGAGCGUUAUCCGGAUUUAUUGGGUUUAAAGGGUGCGUAGGCGGGCUGUUAAGUCAGCGGUCAAAUGUCGGGGCUCAACCCCGUCCUGCCGUUGAAACUGGCGUC
rnacentral:rRNA from 1 species